UACGGAGGGUGCAAGCGUUAUCCGGAUUCAUUGGGUUUAAAGGGUGCGUAGGCGGACCUGUAAGUCAGUGGUGAAAUCUCUCAGCUUAACUGAGAAACUGCCAUUGAUACUGCAAGUCUAGAGUAUAGAUGACGUUGGCGGAAUAUGACAUGUAGUGGUGAAAUACUUAGAUAUGUCAUAGAACACCGAUUGCGAAGGCAGCUAACGAAACUAUAACUGACGCUGAGGCACGAAAGUGCGGGGAUCAAACAGG
rnacentral:rRNA from 2 species